UAUAAAUAACACAUAGCUGAGAGGGUGAAAGAGCAGAUUGUUACCCCGAGAAAACAUUGUCAACUGAGGCGAAGCCAAGGUUAUUUAAUUUAUUAAACUGAAUGUUCUGUUAUUACUGUCUAUUAAAUUUCAUAUUCAAAGUAAUAAACUAUGUCGUCUUGUACAUAACAAUCAUCCGUAUAAUAAAGCGCACACUUGAUCAAGCGUCUCCGUGAAAGGUAAUAGAGUAUUUGCCAUGGGAUAGAGUAAAUUGUCUCCCUCGUAUUAACCAAUCAAAAUCUGGCAUUUUGACAUGAAGUAUAAUAAUAAUAAAUGUUGUAUAGACGUUACUCGAUGUGAUUUUAACAUUUAUCGGUAUAUAUUUCACGUUUUUGAUAUAUUUUUAACAUUACAUAAUGUUGAUCCAAAAUUUGACAAUUCAACACUACGUGUCACAUGCCAUCUUGUGUUUCAUGUGGUGUUGUUACUCUUUGAUGUCGUUUGUUUAUGUACGACUGAGUGUAUCUAUCCAUCGAGUUAGAGUUGAAGUUAAAGUUAAGAUUAUGCACCGAGUUCGAGUAAGAUUUCGAACCAGAGUUAUAGUUGAAGUUUGAAAUAGAGUUCCGUUUCGAGUGAAAGUUCGAUUUCGAGUCAAGAGUUCGAGUAGAACUUCUAGUUAUUUAGUUAUUUAAUAUGAGUUCGUAAUCAAAUAUUCUAAAGCAGAUCCAGGAUUUUAAAAAAGGUGGGGGCGGGGGUAGAAGCCGGCGGAAAAUAUGGGGCCGAGGGUAAAAAAUUAGAAAGAAUAACAAUAUAUAAGACAUUAGGGAAUUAUUCCUGCCCUAUUUGUCCGUCCACUAUUUGUCCCAUAUCUCUCAAAUGGAAUCAGUAGUAAAGUAAAAAAAAUUAAACAAGUUGUACAUCAUAGUCCAAAUCAUUGAUAUAUUUUGAAUCUAAUCGCGAUCAAAGUUGAUUUUUUAGAGGGAAAAGGGAGAAACAGCGACUUCAUAUGAUAAACAUUUUCCAAUUUUUUUUCCAACCGAUUUUCUAAAUAUGUAUGAUCAUUUGUGUAUAAACUAAUAUUAAUGAUCUUUUAUUUUGAUAAAUUGCAUUCCAUGCUACUCUUGCUUUAGUCUUUAAUGUUGAACCUUGUGAUUGUUAAUGUCCGUGUUGCCUGCAUAUGAGAUAUACAAUACAUUUCCAAACUCAUUAUAUGAAAAAAAAAUCCCCCUCUAUAAUGUAAUGUGAGUACGAAUUUUUUUUUAUACUAAACUGACAGGCUGAUUCUUAUUGUCAUCGUAUCAGUUCAGUAUGUUACAGUACACUGAAAGACAUGUUAUCCUUCCUUGACUCAUUAUUCUGACUGUGCCCUGACCAGUAUUUGCUCCGAUGUUACUCCUUAAUGCCGGAUUCUUAGUGGAGAAGACGUAUCUACCAAUUUUCAAAUCUUUUGUUUGGCCCAGCUGAAUAUUAAUUUCAAGUGAGAACGUUCACUUCCAAAAGACAAUUGUGUAUUUUAUUUUUACAGUUGUUUCCGCCUUUGACCCUUCGUUGCUUUGAUUUUUAUAUAAAACAGAGCGCUGCAUCCAGAUCUGUCCUCCUGUAGUUUUUAGAAAGAAAAAGCGUGUUCCGAGAUAUUAUAUAAAAUGUUCCUAUGCUAUUGAUUACAGCUUGUUUUCAGUAGUCUCAUUACAUUCGAAUAUUAAAUAGAACUCGAUCUUAUUAAUUGUAUGUUUUGUUUAAUAAAGUACCUACCACUUAAUAAUGGGGUCUAUGCAUUUUAAGCGGAGGCACAUUUAAAACAAACGACAUGGAAAUUGGGUUUCAAUCUUAUGACUUUUUCUAAAUAAUUCACGUGGUUUCAUCUCAUCAAGUAAUGGGAUAAUCACGUAGAAGACUGACAAAUCCACAUCAAACACUGGAACGAACACAUCGCGGUUUGAAGAAUCGUCAAAUUUUGGAUCAACAUUUAAUAAUAUUUAAGCCAUAUCAAAAAUGUGAAAACCACAUCGAGUAACGUUUAUACAACAUUAAAAGAUGAUAAAGUCUUAUCAAUAUAUGUAAUACUUAGCCAUAUUACGAAUUGACGAAUCGUCAUUACGUAAUAAUAAUACAAACACAGCUUCUAAUGAAACAACUACAUCAUGCAAAGCCACACACAUAUCAAGUAAUGAUGAAACCACAUUACCUAAUGACACAACCACAUUAAAUAAUAUAUAAACCUUAUUAAGUAAUGCAAAACCAAAUCAUGAAAAGUCAAAAUAUCAUCAAUUACUGAUAAAACUACAUCACGUAAUGUCAGAGCGCUCACUGAAACAACUGCUGCGUUCCAUAUUGAAGCAACUGACAUUGAAUUGUAAGUUGUUGAUAUAAACCAUGAAAAGGUGAAAGAAAAUAAAAAAAGAAGGUAAGUUAAAACAAUAACACACGAAACAGUUUUUCGGUAUUGACAUGAUUUAUAACACACUUAGGUUUCAACUCCCCCAAAAAAUAUUGACUUAACAUAGAUUUAGCUCUUCUUUUAAUGUCCUUUAUUGAUCGCUCAGCUCCGUGUUCAAGUUGUAAAAAAUUUAUCUAAAAAAAUGUUUUAGAACUUGUUACUACCAACCAGUCCAAUAAAUCGAUAUUUGAUUUAAGAUUUUUUAUUUUAAAAAACUAAAAAUCCUGACCAUCGUAACUACUAGCUUACAUAUUCCAGGAGCCAACGACUUACAUUGCCGUUUGUUGGACGAACUGUAUGUGCAAAUUAAUAAUAUCAUAAAAAUAUAUUUUGUUGUAACCUAUAUAUUCAAUAUCUUACAAAUAAACACUGUCUAAAAUUAGCUCUGGUCGUUUCCAGAUAUUUCCAGGUAUCUAUUAUAUAUAUUGUUUUAGAAUAUACGAACCUUACACACUAUUGACGCUCACUUAAGUUCUGUUCGAUGACUUAUUUAUAAUCUUGUUCUUAUAUUUGGCAAAAUUGAGACCAACCUAGUUUAACUGUGGUAACAAAUCAAGGAGAAAAUCAAUAGCGCUUAUAAGAUAUGUACUAGCGACAACGAACGCAUUGGCAGGUGUCAUUUCGACCACUGUGAAUUACAAGAAAUAGCAUGGGUUCAUGAAGGGUGAUGUUUAUAAUAAUGACUGACUAUGAUGAAAUGGUUGAUACAAAAGUUAAUGGGAUUUUUUCACGAAUAUAUUUCUGUGGAGAAAUAAAGUGAAUUGAUAAAAUCAAUUGAUAGGCUGGAAAAUCGUUCCUAGCGUACGAAGAUUAAAUUCAAUUAUCGAUCGAGGGAUUAACUUUCACCACAUAUUAGAUUUUUUGAUUCUGUACUUCAGCAGCAUCACUGAAAGUGUUGUUAAGGUUGCAUGUAAUGCAACUAAACUGUUGCAUAAGUUAUGGAAUAUUAAAACUGUUCGAAGUGAAAAGAAGUCCUGUAUGGAAGCUAUACCUUUACUUGCUCAAUAUCACAAGAUGACAAAUUUGAAAAGAAGAGAAUAUCAAAAAUAUGACUUGAGUCCUGAAUAUCAUCAUUUACCUUUCUCUUCAGUACCUUUUACGGAUAUGAUGUACACCAAAAAUCAAAAGAGAUUUAUGAAAUGGAUUUCAACUGGUUGCGAAUGAAUAUUGGUUGUAGAACCACUGUGAUGCAGAGGAGAAGCUGUGCGCCUGAUGGUCAUACAAUCUAUGGGAUCAGCGAUAUAUAUAUUGUACUUUAUGUAUAGAAAGAACUUCCAUCAUUGAAGUCACCGACGAGACAAAAUACAUACGAUCGCGUGAAAACGACAAUUCACAGAUACUUUUGAUGAUAAAUAUCUACAUCACAGUUUAUAUUCACAACAUUACAAUGUUGAUUUGUUGGUAUUUGACCGACAUUCAUGGCACGAGUCAUAUUCCUUAUGUACAUUUACCUCAAGUUUUCCAAAUACAUUGUUUCACUACAAGAAUGGCAUUCAUUGCCCAACCGAAGUCAAUUUCGAUCUAGAGAUAUUUUGUCCAGUCACGACCACGUGACUUUUCUUUACAUUGUUUGUUAUCUAAGAACCUGCAUUAAUUGAAGUCAUUGAACAGACCAGAAUAAAAAUCGAAUGAGUCGGCAAUUCAAAGAUACUGCUACUAACAUUAUACAUAUGCAUUACAGUUUAUAUAUAUAUACACAUGACAAUGAUGAUAGCGUGCUAUUUCAUCGAGUUCAUCAGACGGGUUUUAUUCUAAUAUAGAUAUAUAAUCAAGUUGUGUCAAUACAUUGCUUCACAAUGGAAUUCAUUCCGGCCGUGAGUCCAUUUUAGCCUAGAGAGAUUUCACCAAUAACGACUACUUUGAAUUAUUCUUUUCAACAAGUGCAUCUUCAAAAGUAUUGAAGACGGUAUGAAGUUAAUUCUAGGACCAUGGACAUCUGACUAUUACCUUAUGUGAUCUUAAGAUUAAUCUCAACAAGGAUAGACCAAUACAUAAAUAUUCGGAUAUCAGAUUAAUCGAAUGAUGUGUGCUGUUUUUCAUGAAUCGCAUUUUUUUCAUUUUGUAUAUUUAGAAGGUUGCAUGCAAAUAGAUAUAUAUCGGCAGGGAAGAAUUAUUCACUUUUCGACAGAAUGAUCUGGCAAUAUCAAACGUAAACACAGCAUCAGCUUGCUGACUUAAUUUAUCGUUGAUUUGUAUUUAUAAUAUAGUCAGUUUUGAUCUAAGGACAUUAGUACUACUGCUUGAUUUAUGUGUAUACUUUGUUUCCAUGUUUAUUAUUGUGUUUAUCGUUGACUUAUUGAAGGUGAUCCCGGGGUGUCUACCAAUUCUUAAUACUUGGGGGUCACUCAUACUCAUCUGAUUUCUAAUCACUCAGUUUUGUCUGAUUUUCAUUUGAAAUAUUUCACUUGUUA